rnacentral:snoRNA from 1 species
AGCACAGCUUCAGGUUUCGGCUAGACUUGUGGACAGAAANCCAUGGAGCACGUGCUAAAAGUAAAUCCUUCUUUGCAACCCACAGCAGAUCUGUGCUUGCUGUGUUACUAAUAUGAAGAGACACA